rnacentral:rRNA from 1 species
AGUGAACGCUGGCGGUAGGCCUAACACAUGCAAGUCGAACGGCAGCACAGUAAGAGCUUGCUCUUACGGGUGGCGAGUGGCGGACGGGUGAGGAAUACAUCGGAAUCUACUUUUUCGUGGGGGAUAACGUAGGGAAACUUACGCUAAUACCGCAUACGACCUACGGGUGAAAGCAGGGGAUCCUCGGACCUUGCGCGAUUGAAUGAGCCGAUGUCGGAUUAGCUAGUUGGCGGGGUAAAGGCCCACCAAGGCGACGAUCCGUAGCUGGUCUGAGAGGAUGAUCAGCCACACUGGAACUGAGACACGGUCCAGACUCCUACGGGAGGCAGCAGUGGGGAAUAUUGGACAAUGGGCGCAAGCCUGAUCCAGCCAUACCGCGUGGGUGAAGAAGGCCUUCGGGUUGUAAAGCCCUUUUGUUGGGAAAGAAAAGCGGCAGGUUAAUACCCCGCUGUUCUGACGGUACCCAAAGAAUAAGCACCGGCUAACUUCGUG